GACGAACGCUGGCGGCGUGCCUAAUACAUGCAAGUAGGACGCAGUUGCGAACGGGUGAGUAACGCGUAGGUAACUACCUGUUAGAGGGGGGUAACUAUUGGACACGAUAGCUAAUACCGCAUACUAGUAGAUGGACCUGCGUUGUAUUAGCUAGUAGGUGGGGUAAUGGACUACCUAGGCAACGAUACAUAGCGUACCUGAGAGGGGGAUCGGCCACACUGGGACUGAGACACGGCCCAGACUCCUACGUGAGGCAGCAGUAGGGAAUCUGCGUCAAUGGACGAAAGUCUGACCCAGCAACGCCGCGUGAGUGAAGAAGGUUUUCGGAUCGUAAAACUCUGUUGUUAGAGAAGCGGUAUCUAACCAGAAAGCCACGGCUAACUACGUGCCAGCAGCCGCGGUAAUUC
rnacentral:rRNA from 1 species